AAGAGUAAGGCUGCCUUGACUUGUCGCAGAGAGCAGAUCAACCAAAUUGCCAAAGAUUCGUCAUUGGUUCAUUUUUUAUGCCUCGAUGUUUACUUUGCCAUUAUUUGGGCUAGCAUAAAUUAAGAAGAAAAAAAAAACGUUAAACAUUCA
rnacentral:ribozyme from 1 species